CUUUCUAGUCGCUCUCACUCUCCAUCUGCUUCUUAACCCUGGUGCCCUGGCCGUUUUCUCAACGUGAGGGCCGCUGCUGAAGCCCUGAGCUGCACCCAGUUAGUAAGGAAAGUGAAAAGUGAAAGUGAAGUCGCUCAGUCAUGUCCGACCCUCAGCGACCCCAUGGACUGCAGCCCACCAGGCUCCUCCGUCCAUGGGAUUUUCCAGUGGCUGGAAUAUGGACCCAGAAAGUGUGGUGUUGAGUUUUCUUCAAUCUCAUAGACAAGGGCAUCAAGAUAAAGGUGAUUUGCAUCCCCGACUAAAGCAGAGCCACCCUGUCCACCAUGAAUGCUUAAACACCUGCUGAAGCUGAAGAGAGAACUCCUGUGUUUAAGCACCUGUUACUGUGGGUCUUUGUUAAAGAACUGCAUCCUAGCUAGUACAGACAUUCAUUUCAACAUU
ensembl:lncRNA